rnacentral:lncRNA from 1 species
GGCUAGAGCCCCAGGACGUGGGAGACCGGGGUCCUUGGCACCACCGAGAGUUUCAGCCCGGAAGGAGAAUUACCUUCCGUGUUCCGGAGCCCUCCCUGACAGCAGAAAUGGAACUGGUAAAAGGAGUUGCAGGACAGUCACAGGAGCAGCACUCAGACAUAUGAACCAUGGAGUGGCAGCUGUGCAAGUACCUGCUAUGUAAGCUCCAAAAUUCAGAUGACACCUGUCUUCACCAUGCUGCCCCAUGGAGGAUUGGGGCCUGGGAAAUUCUCACGUGAUGUUCUAUAAGUAAAUACUUGGUCUUUUCUCUGAUCUGGAAACCUCGCGUUUUCUAUCAGGAUAAAAU